UUGGGAGCUCACUAGCUUCGAAGUCAUAGAAAUCCAAAGUUAAGCGAGUUGGGGCUAGAGCAAUCCCAGGAUGGGUGACCUACUUGGAAGCUCCUCGUGAGUUCCCAGA
rnacentral:rRNA from 1 species